AAUUAGCUUUUUUUUUUAAAAAAAAAAAAAAGACAUUCUUAUACGUGACAUUCGCAAGAAGGCGUCCAUAUCAAAGGCGUCUCUAAAAACUGAAUAUGACCUUUCGCAGUAAUUACCGAAAGAUAUAAUUCACCUCUUCUCGGAUGCCUUGUUUGAGAUCGUCAAGUGUCUUCGGUAUUCUUUGGUAUACUUUCCAGUUAUAGGAUGCUACUACAGAAAAAAAUCACUAACCUAAAAUUCGGAAAAAUUUGUCUCCGUACGGAUUAAAUUUUUCUAAAUGGGGAUAUUCCAUAGGCUGAUUUAAUGGAUUUAACG